rnacentral:rRNA from 1 species
CCUACGGGCGGCUGCAGUGGGGAAUAUUGGACAAUGGGGGGAACCCUGAUCCAGCCAUGCCGCGUGUGUGAAGAAGGCCCUCGGGUUGUAAAGCACUUUCAGUGAGGAAGAACGCCUGGUGGUUAAUACCCAUCAGGAAAGACAUCACUCACAGAAGAAGCACCGGCUAACUCCGUGCCAGCAGCCGCGGUAAUACGGAGGGUGCGAGCGUUAAUCGGAAUUACUGGGCGUAAAGCGCGCGUAGGUGGCUUGAUAAGCCGGUUGUGAAAGCCCCGGGCUCAACCUGGGAACGGCAUCCGGACCUGUCAAGCUAGAGUGCAGGAGAGGAAGGUAGAAUUCCCGGUGUAGCGGUGAAAUGCGUAGAGAUCGGGAGGAAUACCAGUGGCGAAGGCGGCCUUCUGGACUGACACUGACACUGAGGUGCGAAAGCGUGGGUAGCAAACAGGAUUAGAUACCCCGGUAGUC